AGUGGACGCUGGCGGUAGGCCUAACACAUGCAAGUCGAACGGCAGCACAGUAAGAGCUUGCUCUUACGGGUGGCGAGUGGCGGACGGGUGAGGAAUACAUCGGAAUCUACUUUUUCGUGGGGGAUAACGUAGGGAAACUUACGCUAAUACCGCAUACGACCUACGGGUGAAAGCAGGGGAUCUUCGGACCUUGCGCGAUUGAAUGAGCCGAUGUCGGAUUAGCUAGUUGGCGGGGUAAAGGCCCACCAAGGCGACGAUGCGUAGCUGGUCUGAGAGGAUGAUCAGCCACACUGGAACUGAGACACGGUCCAGACUCCUACGGGAGGCAGCAGUGGGGAAUAUUGGACAAUGGGCGCAAGCCUGAUCCAGCCAUACCGCGUGGGUGAAGAAGGCCUUCGGGUUGUAAAGCCCUUUUGUUGGGAAAGAAAAGCAGCAGGUUAAUACCCCGCUGUUCUGACGGUACCCAAAGAAUAAGCACCGGCUAACUUCGUG
rnacentral:rRNA from 1 species